AUCUCGAUUGUAAAAGGCUGGAUCGCGGAUAGGGAGCGCGAGCGUGAAGAAACCGGCCGCCAUCUUACUGUACCCACAACAGUCGCCGCAGCGAUCAUGGCAACUUCUUGCAAUUACGGUCGUACCAACCGUACUGGCAAGGUUACAGGGCCUAAAUUUAUACAGGUUUCGUCAUGAGGGCUACCCAGUGAAUAAUCUGUGCAGAGUGAUACGGCUGGGUGUACAGGUUACUUCACAGCUGCCUCGACAUACUCAAGAAAUGGGUGCAGAACCUGCGUAAUGCCCACAAACUUUGACUACCACAGCACCUCCAGAAAGUAAAGGCAUAUGUGUCACAUGGGAUUUUUAAAGGCAUUCACAGUAUAUAAUACCUUCGUAACAUGAAAAACGGUUAGGAGCAACUAAUAUUUAUUCGAACAAGAACUUUCGUGCAAGAGACUGCACUUCUUCAGGUUACACAACUACUUUUGAACUCUUUUGAACCCCAAUUCUCCGAAUGUCUCAUUUACCCGUACACCUUCUCUUUCCUGAUUCUUAUGUGACGGUUGCUCACGUGAUGCAUUGUAUUACUGUCUGGUUGUUUUGUGUUUACUUAGUUCUGGAAACCUGUUUUAUUGUAUCUGUUUACUUGGUAUAUAUACUCGUGUCGCACUUAGUUGUGUAACCUGAAGAAGUGCAGUCUCUUGCACGAAAGUUCUUGUUCGAAUAAAUAUUAGUUGCUCCUAACCGUUUUUCAUGUUACGUGUGUGAUUCCCUCUUCGCGGGCUCC